rnacentral:lncRNA from 1 species
AUUUUUCAUUUUUCGUUUGAUGGCCUGGAAGGUUUCUUUGUCUUUUCUUAUCUAACACUGUUAAUUUAUUGUAGUCAACUGGAGGUACAAAAACAGACCUGGGGCAUCCAAAGUCUGUCAAGGAAGGAUCAGAACACCUGCAUAAACAUCAGGUUAAAAUGUUUUAAGGCCUCCGGAUCGGACAGCAUCUGACUUGCAAACAUAAAAAUAGUUGAAUUCUUCCUUAUGUCUCAUUUUUGGUAAAGGAUAGAG